ACGGCGAGUGAAGCGGGAAGAGCUCAAAUUUGAAAUCUGGCAGUCUUCGAUUGUCCGAGUUGUAAUCUAUAGAGGCGUUUUCCGUGCCGGACCGUGUCCAAGUCUCCUGGAAAGGAGUAUCAAAGAGGGUGAUAAUCCCGUACUUAACACGACCACCGGUGCUCUGUGAUACGUCUUCUACGAGUCGAGUUGUUUGGGAAUGCAGCUCAAAAUGGGUGGUGAAUUCCAUCUAAAGCUAAAUAUUGGCGAGAGACCGAUAGCGAACAAGUACCGUGAGGGAAAGAUGAAAAGCACUUUGGAAAGAGAGUUAAACAGUACGUGAAAUUGUUGAAAGGGAAACGAUUGAAGUCAGUCGUGUUCUUUGGAUUCAGCCAGUUCUGCUGGUCUACUUCCUUGGAACGGGUCAACAUCAGUUUUGUCCGGUGGAUAAAGGUAGUAGGAAUGUGACUUCUCCGGAAGUGUUAUAGCCUAUUAUCACAUACACUGGGUGAGACUGAGGACUGCAGCUCGCCUUUAUGGCCGGCCUUCGGGCA
rnacentral:rRNA from 1 species